CCAAGAUGCCAUAAUAAUCUAUCCAAACUACCAUAAUAAGCCAAGUGAUCCAAAAGGAGACCAAGCCAUUAUGGGAAACAUUUUAAAUAUGGCAAGCUUCCAUAAUAAGCCAAGCAUCAUGGGAGACUUAAAUUGACACUUAUUAGGUUGUAUAUUAUUGUUUACACCAGCUAAGACUUUAAGGAACUUGGCUGCGAAAGGACAAAUUUUAGAAAGGGCAUGAGUUAAGGGUUUCAUUAUAUUUGAUAAGGUUGAUCCGAACCAAACCCAAAAUGUUCGGGUUCAGGUGAGGUCUAAGUUAGGUUGAAUUUACAGUUCAAGUCAAGGAUCUAGCUGUCCUUUUAGGUUGGGCAAGAUUGGGUUCAAAAUUGAAUCAGCCCCAUCCUUUCUUGACCCAAACUACACUUGAAUGAUAUUAGGAUUCAAUUAGGUAAAAAAAAAAAUACUAGAUCUGACCCGAAUUUUUAGAUCAGGUCCAAUUAUUGAACCCAACCCAAUCCACGAGUCUUCAAAUAUAGAUUGAGUCAAGUCUAAUCAAGUUGGCACCGUGUUGGCUCACAAUUGACCAAACCAACUUGAACUUCUGAUACUAAGAUAAAAAUGUCGAGAAGAUAGAAAAUUAAUAUCAUUAAAAAAUAAAAACAAAAUAUUUCUAUUAUAUAAUUUACAACAUUUUAAGAUUUAAUUAUAAGUCCAUAAAAGACGCAAUUAUUGAAGAAAUCUAUUAAGAAUUAUUAUUUUUGUUUACUCAGAUUUUACAUCAUCCCUCGUGAAAGGCAUUAGAGGCUAUUCAAUGAUGCUUGACUACAAGUACUAAUCUUUUGUAAAUCCUCUAAGCCCACUAUAAAACCACUACAUACAUGAAUGCUAUUCCACGCUCAUUCCGAAAAAAAGGAGUGGGACAUCCAGGACAUGAUUAUUGGAAAUAGCUAAACUAAAAUCUUAAUAUAUUGCACAUAAUCUACAUGUUGCAUUAAACAAAGGUUACAACUAUCAUUGCAAAUUGUACAAUCUACAUUCUUGUUAAAAGAGAUCGUUUACACGUAUCUAGCAAAAGCAAUGUUCAUUAUGGUGAAUUCAAAUUGAAGUUUGUAGCAUGUCAAUGCUAAAAAAUAUUUAAAUGUUUUUGAACUAAAGCUAAAAUCUAAACAUUGUUCAGCAAUAUGACAUAAGGAGAAAGCUCAUGUGAUGGAGAUGGGGGAAAUCUUUUAAACACCAGCAUCCAUAAAAUGAAGAAGAAACAUAGGAUUAACAAUACGCAUUGUCAAGACAAAGACAUAAAACCCAAUAAUAGAUCUGAUCCUUUUCCUUUUGUUUCUAAAUCCUGCCCUAAGAUAAAGCCCCUGAGUCAACCCAACAACCCGACCAACUUAAGUCCAUAUACAAGCAUUAUGAAGUUUGGCAGUCCUAAUUUGAAGCUUUUUCAUUUUGCCUCUUUUUCCCUUUUACAACAAUAAGAUCAAAUAUGCCACAGUCCUAUAACAAUUUACUGAUACAAUCACCCUCGUUCAAUUUAAAUCACUUCUUUAAUUUCACCUCACUUAUAAACCCCAAUCCUUACAAACCACAACCAUUAGAUAUAGGUCAAGUUGCAGAGACCAAAUACCAUCACCUUUGUCUCUUUAUUAUUAGCAAUAAGAAAACCUAAAAACAACCCAAACUUCCAUGGAAAGCCUUUUACCAGAUUUCUUCAACCUUCCAACUAUUUAAAAACCUCAUGAAAUCCUAACCUUAAAGAUCCCUAUAUUUUCUCCUUUCUUGAAUUAUGCCUAAAUCUAUCAAAAAAGUUCAGAAUUGCAAACAACAUCUAAAGCCUAUUUUCCGGAAUUCCUAGGCCGCUUCAUCGCAUUUGUUCAAAACUCUAGCUCUAGGUCCUGCAUCAACGCGGUAUUCAUUGCAAACCCAAUCCAUACAAAGUUUAAGAUGCUAUCUUCUUCAAUGAGAAGAAACAAUUAUCAAACUAUGAAGGUUAUCUGAUGCAAAAUUAUUGUUACAAGAGCAUAAUUCCAAGUAUGGUCUUCCAAAGAAGAAAGAUCAAUCAAUUAGACAACUAAUUCUAUAGUGAAAUCAAAAAAGGGACAUCCAUCAAACCAUAGGAAGGAAGAUUCACAUCUUUUCCACCUAAAACUACACAUCCCACAUGGAAACCUUGUCCAUCAUACAAUUUUAGAUAGUGUCAGGCCACCUUACACAAGAGUUGUGCAUCCAUUACUUUUAGGUGUGGUGAACGAACAAAAUCAAACCUUUUGCCAAUAAGGAUUGGAAAGAAAGGGAUUGAUAAGAUGACAAGGAAAGCAAGAUCUUGGCUCUAAGACCUUUCAACAAGAAACCACUUUUGACAGAAAAUCUUUUGUCAACGGACAUUGUUCUUAG
rnacentral:lncRNA from 1 species